GUAAGAAGGAAGCAUCGGUCGUUGCAUUUCGCAUACCGAGUACUAACUCAACAUUUCUUUGCAUCCUCAAACCCCACCCUCUUUCUCUCUCACCAUUUACAGAGGUUGCUAUCAUUGGAGCUGAACCUCCCUCUGGAUCUUAAUCUAAAUCGACACUCGAAGGCCUUCAAAUCUCUCAAUUCGGACGGAGAUUCGGUCUAGUUCUCUCUCUGUUCGAGUUGUCUUGCCGGAUCUCCCACUGGGAUCUUAGGGUUCAGGAUUCAGUCACGGAUUUCCAAUCAAGAGGCUAAAUUUUAAUCUUCAACAAUGCCUCUCAGGCUCGAGAUCAAGAGGAAACUUGCUCAAAGAUCAGAAAGAGUAAAAUCCGUGGAUCUGCAUCCAACAGAGCCAUGGAUCCUCACAAGUUUGUAUUCAGGAACAGUCUGCAUCUGGGAUUACCAGUCUCAGGCUAUGGCAAAAUCCUUUGAGGUUACUGAAUUACCAGUCAGAUCAGCAAAGUUUGUAGCCCGCAAGCAGUGGGUUGUUGCAGGAGCAGAUGACAUGUUUAUCCGUGUGUACAAUUACAAUACGAUGGAUAAAGUCAAAGUAUUUGAGGCACAUACCGAUUACAUUCGGUGUGUGGCUGUCCACCCUACCCUCCCAUAUAUACUUUCAUCUUCUGAUGAUAUGCUUAUUAAGCUUUGGGACUGGGAAAAGAGUUGGUAUUGUACUCAAAUCUUUGAGGGACAUUCCCAUUAUGUCAUGCAAGUGACAAUCAAUCCUAAAGACACCAAUACUUUUGCAAGUGCAUCACUUGAUCGCACCAUAAAGAUAUGGAAUCUUGGGUCUCCUGAUCCUAACUUUACACUAGAUGCGCAUCUCAAAGGAGUGAAUUGUGUGGAUUAUUUCACGGGUGGUGAUAAACCUUAUCUAAUUACUGGAUCAGAUGAUCACACUGCUAAGGUAUGGGAUUAUCAAACCAAAACUUGUGUCCAGACUUUAGAAGGUCACACACACAAUGUUUCAGCUGUGUGCUUUCACCCGGAGCUGCCAAUAAUAAUCACAGGUUCUGAGGAUGGUACUGUACGUAUAUGGCAUUCAACUACUUAUAGACUUGAGAAUACUUUGAAUUAUGGACUCGAAAGGGUUUGGGCUGUUGGAUACAUGAAAGGUUCACGAAGGAUUGCUAUUGGGUAUGAUGAAGGGACUAUAAUGGUGAAAGUUGGUAGGGAAGAGCCUGUAGCUAGCAUGGAUAACAGUGGAAAAAUUAUAUGGGCUAAACAUAAUGAAAUUCAAACUGUUAACAUUAAGAGUGUGGGAGCUGAUUUUGAGGUCUCUGAUGGAGAGAGGUUGCCUUUAGGAGUUAAAGAAUUGGGAACAUGUGAUCUCUACCCACAAAGCUUGAAACACAACCCAAAUGGGAGGUUUGUUGUUGUGUGUGGUGAUGGUGAAUACAUCAUAUAUACAGCUUUGGCAUGGAGGAACAGAUCAUUUGGGUCUGCAUUGGAGAUCGUGUGGUCAUCCGAUGGUGAAUAUGCUGUUAGAGAGAGCACAACUAAGAUCAAGAUUUUUAACAAAUCUUUUCAGGAAAAAAAGAGUAUCCGACCAACAUUUUCUGCUGAACGCAUGUAUGGAGGAUCAUUGCUCGCGAUGUGCUCGAAUGAUUUUAUAUGUUUCUAUGAUUGGGCUGAGUGCAGAUUGAUUCAAAGGAUCGAUGUUAAUGUCAAGAACCUUUACUGGGCAGACAGUGGUGAUAUGUUAGCAAUUUCCAGUGAUUCAUCAUUCUAUAUACUACAGUACAAUCAUGAUGUAGUGUCUGCACAUCUAGACAGUGGAAGAUCUGUAGAUGAGCAAGGUAUUGAAGAUUCCUUUAAACUUCUGUAUGAAGUGAGCGAAAGAGUUAGAACUGGAUUGUGGGUUGGUGACUGUUUUAUUUACACUAAUUCUUCAUGGCGACUCAAUUACUGUGUUGGUGGUGAGGUAACCACAAUGUUUCAUUUGGAUCGCCCAAUGUAUCUUCUAGGAUAUCUAGCUAAUCAAAGCAGGGUUUUUCUCAUUGACAAGGAAUUCAAUGUCAUUGGAUACACGUUGCUGCUCACCUUGAUUGAGUAUAAAACACUUGUGAUGCGUGGAGACCUAGACAAAGCUAGUACUGUAUUGCCUUCUAUUCCAAAGGAGCAUCAUAACAGUGUUGCUCAUUUCUUGGAGUCACGUGGAAUGAUUGAUGAAGCUUUAGAAGUUGCUACAGAUCCUGACUAUAGAUUUGAACUGGCCAUUCAGCUUGGUAAACUAGAGAUUGCAAAGGAUAUUGCACUAGUAGCACAAAGUGAGUCGAAAUGGAAGCAGUUGGGUGAAUUAGCUAUGUCUACUGGACUGUUGGAAAUGGCUGAAGAUUGUUUGAAACAUGCAAACGAUUUAAGUGGUCUGCUUUUGCUGUAUUCUUCUCUGGGAGAUGCUGAAGAGAUAGCAAAACUUGCACUUGUUGCAAAAGAAAAUGGAAAAAACAAUGUUGCUUUUGCUUGUCUAUUUAUGCUGGGUAAAUUGGAAGACUGUUUACAGUUGUUGGUGGACAGCAACCGGAUACCCGAGGCUGCUCUGAUGGCCCGGUCUUAUCUUCCAAGCAAGGUUUCAGAAAUAGUAGCUCUUUGGAGAAAAGACCUUAACAAGGUUAACCAGAAAGCAGCAGAAUCAUUAGCAGAUCCUGAAGAGUAUCCAAAUAUGUUUGAGGACUGGCAAAUUGCACUUGAAGUUGAAGAAAGAGCUACAGAAACAAGGAGUAGUUACCCUCCAGCAGAAGAGUAUGUGAAUUAUGUUGAUAGAUCACAUGUGAAUCUUGUGGAUAUUUUUAAACACAUGCAGUUGGAUGAUGAUGAACCACAUGAAAACGGAGAGUUGGAUCAUGAGGAGGGUGUAGAAGAAAACGGAAAUGAAGGGGAAUAUAUUGAUGGUCAAGAAGAAGAAGAAGCAGCAGCAGCAGCUGCAAAUGCAAAUGCAAAUGCAAUGGAUAAUGAUUCUUCAGAUGGUGCAGUUUUCGUUAAUGGUAACGAGGCUGAAGAAGAAGAAGAAGAGUGGGGUACGAAUAAUGCAGCAACUUCGUCAGCCUAAAAGCAAUUGGUUGGGGCUAAUUUUAUUGCUGUGCUUACACCACGUCACCAAGUCGAUUAAAGACGUUUCCUGCUUUAUGCAACUCCUUCAGGUACCUGUUCGUGGUGUAAUUUUGUAAGCGCGUCGAUUUUUGUAUUUUGGGACAUAUGAUAUGAUAUGAUAUAAAUAUAUAGACUUUGAGACUUGAGCUUGAGCUUGGUAGUUUGAGUUUAGUUACUCGCUAGGCAAGGCACUCCAUCCAUUAUUCUUUCUUUCUGAGGCAGUAAGUAAUUUUCACCUUUCAACUCGUUUACUUAUUAUUAUUAUUAUUAUUAUUAUUAUUAUUGUGAAUGUAAAAAACAAACGACUAUAGCAUGUAAUAGGGGUGGUGCGAUUCCAGGUCACACAAUUAUUAUAUAGCUUGUUUUCAUUAAAUUGUAACACGUUUCUUUCGACUUC